rnacentral:rRNA from 1 species
AUGCACCUUGGUCUGUAUUUCUCCUGGAGGCUGGCUGUGGCUGGAGAUAACAAGCUGAUUUGUCUGUCUGUUUUAUCAGAGGAUUUCCCUAGCAUUUUCUUAGGUCUGGUAGAGAUGUAUUUCGUGUUUUUACGGAUUCUCGCUAUUGAAACGUCGUAUGCGUCUAUUUGGGACUUGUCUUGGCUGGAUGCUAACAAUAUUAUUAUUAUUAUGUCUGCAAUGGCGCCCAAAAAUUUGAAUUUGUGUCUGUCUGGUAUCAUCGUAGUUCUAGAUACAUCCCCUUUAAUCCAUUUUAAUUAUAAGUAUUUCCUUUAA